rnacentral:rRNA from 1 species
AUGACAACUAAACUAACAAUCCUGAAUUCAGAACACGCCUGCGAGCAACAGCGCGAAGAAGACGGCCGCUGUCCUGGCCGCGACGUUCCUCGUCGCCGUGCUGGUCGGGGCGAUCCCGACGAUGAACCGGCACGUCCCGGUAGAGGGGUCGACGGUGGUGGUGGUGGCGAGUCCGCGGAAGUCGCAGGCUCGGUCGUCCUGGUCCUCGGUCUGGUAGUAGCUGUUGAACGCGUACGACACGUUGCCCUUGGCGUCGAGGCCGCCGCACGAGGUCUUGUACCCGAGGCUGGUGCAGUCGGCACUGCCGCAGGCGUAGCUGACGCUGUCGCCGACCUUCUGGUCGCCAAGGUCGGCGUCGGGCUUGAGCACGCACCACCGCCUCUGGAGGUACUCGACGCCCCUCGCCGGCACAAGCAUGCCGCCGCCAUUGCCGCGGAGGCUGAGCUGGUACUUGGGCUUCCCGUCGAAGAAGAAGAUGCCCCAGUGGCGCUCGAAGUUGCCCGGCUGGAUGCUCUUCCUGUCCUCGUCGACGAGGCUGAAGAGGUAGGCGUCGACGGGGGCGCCCGGCGUGAGCGGCGUGCCCUUGCCGGAGGCGACGUGGUCCAGGAGGCCCUGGUUGAACCGCUGCGCGUACGCCGGGUUGGCGUUGGCGUCGCCGUCCGUGGGCCAGCCGACCUCGCCGACCACGACGGUCACGUUGGGGAACCCGUUCCUGCGCAGCGCCGCCACCAGCGUGUCGUGGUUGGCGUCGAAGGUGUUCUGGUACGUCACGCCGCCGUCGACCACCGGCGACGUGGAGCCCUGGAAGAAGGCGUAGUCCAGCGGGAAGUUGGGGUCCGCGUACAGGCUGAUGAACGGGUACACGUUGGCCACGAACGGCGCGCCGCUGGACGCCAGGAACUGCACGAUGUUGAGCAUGAGCCCGUGGAUGUCCGCCCGGAAGUCGCCGUCCGACGGCUUCCCCGACGCCGACUGGUACACGUCGGCGUUCAGCGCCACCGUCACCUUCACCUGGCUGCCCAGCCCGGCCGUCAUCAGCGCCGCCUGGAUGUUCUGCAUCGCCGGGAACGUCGUGUUCAGGUACGUGCCGUUGAACGUCUGCAGGAACGGCUCGUUCCCGACGGCCACCAACCUGCACCCGUCACCGAUCGCGUCAGUGUUGUUACUCAGUAG